CUCGCCACCGGCGCCGGGGACGCGCUCCCUGUGCCCGGGACGAGACGACAUGUGGCCGCCUCGCGGCUGAAUCGCAAC
rnacentral:ncRNA from 1 species